rnacentral:rRNA from 1 species
AACGAACGCUGGCGGCAUGCCUAACACAUGCAAGUCGAACGAAGGCUUCGGCCUUAGUGGCGCACGGGUGCGUAACGCGUGGGAAUCUGCCCUUGGGUUCGGAAUAACAGUGAGAAAUUACUGCUAAUACCGGAUGAUGACUUCGGUCCAAAGAUUUAUCGCCCAAGGAUGAGCCCGCGUAAGAUUAGCUAGUUGGUGAGGUAAAGGCUCACCAAGGCGACGAUCUUUAGCUGGUCUGAGAGGAUGAUCAGCCACACUGGGACUGAGACACGGCCCAGACUCCUACGGGAGGCAGCAGUGGGGAAUAUUGGACAAUGGGCGAAAGCCUGAUCCAGCAAUGCCGCGUGAGUGAUGAAGGCCUUAGGGUUGUAAAGCUCUUUUACCAGGGAUGAUAAUGACAGUACCUGGAGAAUAAGCUCCGGCUAACUCCGUGCCAGCCGCCGCCGUAA